GUUAAGGGAUUGUUUGAGCCGUUCAGAUCAAAGAAGUUUCUUUGGGGUGCUUCAGAAGAGGCCCAAUAAAGUUGGUGCCAAGGAUCCUCACAAAGCUAGGUGGGAGCUUACCUAUGAAGGGACCUGCUAAGAGGUUAUGGAAGUGGUUCUACCCAUGUUAUCACCUUGGCAGUCUCCAUCCUAUCAAGUGCAACUUUAAAGAAGCUGACACUGAAGAUUAUUUGGAAGCCAUAAUCAAUAGAGCACACCACGUGAGCCCAUUAAGAGAACGGCUCCUUCCCACCUGCCACCUCGCGCCAGCCAGCAAUCUCAGCGUCCCCACUCCACUCUUGCUCAUGUAGAGCUAUCCAAUCUGAGUGGCAGGACUUGCAAAGACAGCUGUUGGGCUCCCCACACAUUUGGAGGAGGGGAAAAUAUGAGUUGAAAUACCGCACUCAUUGAACUGCCAGGAAUAAAGCCUGGGAGCGGACACUGGGCUGGUGUGACGUCAAUUUGUUAAGCAACGGUACUGUUCCCUAAAUAUGCUGGAAUUGAGUGCCUUCUUUAUUAAGAAAAA